rnacentral:rRNA from 1 species
GACGAACGCUGGCGGCGUGCUUAACACAUGCAAGUCGAACGGAAAGGCCCUGCUUGCAGGGUACUCGAGUGGCGAACGGGUGAGUAACACGUGGGUGAUCUACCCUCCACUUCGGGAUAAGCCUGGGCAACUGGGUCUAAUACCGGCUAGGAGCCAUUUUUAGUGUGAUGGUUGGAAAGUUUUUUCGGUGUAGGAUGAGCUCGCGGCCUAUCAGCUUGCUGGUGGGGUAAUGGCCUACCAAGGCGGCGGCGGGUAGCCGGACUGAGAGGGUGGACGGCCACAUUGGGACUGAGGUGAGGCCCAGGCUCCUACGGGAGGCAGAAGUGGGGAAGAUUGAACAAUGGGCGCAAGCCUGGUGCAGCGGCGCCGCGUGGGGGAUAACGGCCUUCGGGUUGUAAACCCCUUUCGCUAGGGACGAAGCUUUUUGUGACGGUACCUAGAUAAGAAGCACCGGCUAACUACGUG